rnacentral:rRNA from 1 species
UACGACUACAUAUCAGGCAUAUCAAUAAGCGGAGGAAAAGAAACUAACAAGGAUUCCCUUAGUAACGGCGAGUGAAGCGGGAAGAGCUCAAAUUUGAAAUCUUCAAGGUUCUACCUUGACGAAUUGUAGUUUAAAGAAGUGUUUUCUGUUAGAGGAGUAGCAAAAGUUCCUUGGAAUGGGACAUCAUAGAGGGUGAGAAUCCCGUAUUUGGUUAUUCUUUCUAGCUUUGUGAUACACUUUCAAAGAGUCGGAUUGUUUGGGAAUGCAGUCCAAAAUGGGUGGUAAAUUUCAUCUAAAGCUAAAUAUUGGCGAGAGACCGAUAGCGAACAAGUACCGUGAGGGAAAGAUGAAAAGAACUUUGAAAAGAGAGUUAAACAGUACGUGAAAUUGUCAAAAGGGAAGCGUUUGACACCAGUGUUGUUUAGUUGAAAAUCAAUUCAAUAGUUUUUGAUUCUAAGUAGUAUUGACUUCAUCAGCUUGCUGCUUUCUUCUCAGAAAUUAUUGAAUGCACUUUUCAGUUAACAAGUCAACAUCAAUUUCUUUUGUUGUAAAAGGGUAAGAGGAAGGUGGCUUGCGCUUCGGCUCAAGUGUUUAUAGCCUUUUAUCUCUGCAAUCGGAGAGAUUGAGGUCUGCAGCGUAGAUCCUUCGGGGUUAGAUACAUUGGUGCUAAGCUAUAGCCUUGUAUAGACAACUUGUUGACUAUGCUCAGUCAUGUAGCUUACUCGCUGAUGCUAUUUUACCUACGCUUAGGAUGUUGAUCUACAGAGCGAGAGU